rnacentral:lncRNA from 1 species
GAGGCUGAGGAGUACGUACCAAGGGACAGUUUGUGAGACUCUGGUAGGUCCGUGACUGAGGGCACCCUUGUGGGAUGCUGAGUGUAGCCAUCAGGAAGCUGGGUCCCAGCCAACUCAGCCUGGGCUCUGCCGUUCUCCAGUGGUCAGAUAAGAAAGAGCGGUGUGGUCCUCUAAGGGAGUGAGCGAGGACUGCAGCUGCUUUGAGCCCUGGCCAGAGCCUCCAAUCAACCUUUGGUUCUGAUAAAGACAAGAAACCCAAGCAUGAAAUUAAACCUAUUCCAGUCUGUGACAUCUGAUCCCUUUGACAUGACAUAGUACAACCUGUAGAGCCAGAGGUGGGGGCCAGGAAGCCCUGUUCUAGUCUCUCUGCACAACCUUGAGCCAUCUCAUCAUCUGCACAUCUGCCUGAACCUCAGUCUCCCACUCUGGACGUUGUCGGGGUGAUGGAGCAAGCAUUCAGUUAUUCUCUGCUGGAUUCUGAUGUGGUCUAAAGUCCACACUUUGUUGUGAAACACCGCAAUCUGUGAUGUACAGAACCUAUUACUGCGGCCACCCAGGAAUGCUGGGGGCAGGCCUUUUGAGAAGGUGAAUCAGCGUGUGUUAGCUCAGGGCAGAGGGCCUGGCGGUGAGACGUGAGAACAGCCAAUGUCAUGGCGGUGGGGGAGUGGACGUGAGCCAUCUGGGGCCCAGCAAACAGCAUGUUGAAAAAAACGAGGAACUCAAAGGCAGAUGAGCCUACCACGCUGGGAACAGUUGGGAGUACAUUGCUCAAGCCCCGGCCAGUUUUAUGUCACUGCUGGUGUGAAGCAGUGAACAGUGACCCAGCAUGCAUCCAGGUGGCGGGACAGAGUCAGACUCUCCAGGGCAGAGAGACUCUAAAACUGACGGCCAGGUCUUGCUCAGACUACGGGCCUGAGGGAAGAUCCAAGACUGAAACAGGGCUUGGAAUGGAGGGGGUGGAGUUGAGGAGAUCACAGAGGACCUAGGAGUGUGUGUAUCGGAGAGAGAUAGGAAACCACUGACCGUUCAGCACACAUUCAGAAUUACUGCCUGUCCCAGGGAGGGACCCACAGCUCCGGCGCUCCGUUCAGCAUCUGGAAGAGCAUAGCUCGCUGUGAGCGGCCGCCCCAGAAGACUGUAUCCCACCCAGCCAGCUCUCCUGCCUGCUUGCCUCUGCCCCACACCAGGACACUUCAUACUGUCAGAACCACUGGGUGUGUGAGCUUGUGAGAGGGUGUGUGGGCACACAUGUCCCUGUGUGGGGUGUGGAGGUCAGAGGGCAACUUGGAGGAAUUGGUUCUCUCCUUCCACCACUGGGGCCCAGGAAUCAAGCCGAGGUUCCCAGACGUGGUAGCAGCCUCCCUUACCUGUUAAACCAGUGCUUCCCAGACUUCCUAAUGCUGUGACCUCAUGCUGUGCUGACCCCCGCCCAUGACAUUAUCUCUGUUGGUAUUUUAUAACUGUAAUUUUGCUACUAUUAUGAAUCACAA